CCUACGGGUGGCAGCAGUGGGGAAUAUUGCACAAUGGGGGAAACCCUGAUGCAGCGACGCCGCGUGAGUGAAGAAGUAUUUCGGUAUGUAAAGCUCUAUCAGCAGGGAGGAAAAUGAUGGUACCUGUACAAGAAGCCCCGGCUAACUACGGGCCAGCAGCCGCGGUAAUACGGAGGGGGCAAGCGUUAGCCGGAUUUACUGGGUGUAAAGGGAGCGUAGACGGCUGCACGAGUCUGGAGGGAAAUGCCCGGGCUUAACCCGGGAACUGCUUUGGAAACUGGGCAGCUAGAGUGCAGGAGAGGGAAGUAGAAUGCCUGGUGUAGCGGUGAAAUGCGUAGAGAUCAGGAGGAACACCGGUGGCGAAGGCGGCUUACUGGACUGUAACUGACGCUGAGGCUCGAAAGCGUGGGGAGCAAACAGGAUUAGAUACCCCAGUAGUC
rnacentral:rRNA from 1 species